rnacentral:rRNA from 1 species
AUGGACGACGGCUCGACGCCGACGUACGACUUCAUUGUCGAGUACGUCCACUUCAAGGAAGCCGGGGGAGCAACCAGCUCCUCGUCGCCGGGCACGCCUACCCCGGCCCCCAAAACCACAUCGACUCCGGUGCCUGCUACGCCGACGGCACCACAACCGGCGACGCCGCACACUCCAGCCCCGGCAGUCACCACCCCGGGCUCAUCUUCAUCAGCACUAGCUCACACAGAGCACAACCCGACGAAGUUCGCCUCUCCGCUCACUCACGACGAGGAGCGGAUCGACGCGUAUUAUGGCGGCGAACCGCUGCGGUAUCGUACGAUGGAAGAUCUACUCGGCGACCAGCCGGUGCCGGGACUGGUGCCACGUGACCUGGAGGCGCAGCUACAACUCGCGUGUGAAGACGGCGAACCACGGUCUUUUGCAGAGGCCGAGAGAGACGCGGCAUGGCGCGCCGCGAUGCAGUUGGAGAUGGAUGCGGUCGAGCAAAACCGCACCUGGGAGCUCGCUGACCUCCCUCGUGGUCACCGCGCAAUCACCCUUAAGUGGGUGUUCAAGCUGAAGAGGGAUGGAGCCGGCGCCAUCAUCAAGCACAAGGCUCGCUUGGUGGCCCGAGGCUUCUUGCAACAGGAAGGAGUCGACUUCGACGACGCUUUCGCUCCCGUGGCACGGAUGGAGUCCGUGCGACUUCUCCUCACGCUGGCUGCCCAGGAGGGCUGGCAUGUCCAUCACAUGGAUGUCAAGUCGGCAUUCCUCAACGGCGACUUGAAGGAGGAAGUCUACGUGCAUCAGCCACCGGGAUUUGCGAUCCCUGGCCAGGAGGGCAAGGUACUCCGCCUGCGCAAGGCUCUCUAUGGCCUACGGCAGGCACCUAGGGCGUGGAACGCCAAGCUGGACUCCACGCUAAAGAAGAUGGGCUUCGAGCAAAGCCCGCAUGAGGCGGCCGUCUACCGACGGGGCAGUGGAGGAAACGCCCUGCUGGUGGGCGUCUAUGUUGACGACUUGGUGAUUACCGGCACCAAAGAUGCAGAGGUGGCAGCGUUCAAGGAAGACAUGAAGGCCACCUUCCAGAUGAGUGAUGUGGGGCUCCUCUCCUUCUAUCUUGGGAUUGAGGUGCACCAGGAUCACUCCGGGAUCGCGCUUCGACAGUCCGCCUACGCCAAGCGCAUCGUUGAGCUAGCUGGGCUCAGCAACUGUCACCCAGCUCUCACUCCGAUGGAGGAGAGGCUGAAACUGAGCCGCGACAGCAAGGCAGAGGAACGACCGACGUCGGAACACCAGCAGGCAGUGAAGAGGAUCGUCCGCUACGUAGCAGGGACCCUCUACCACGGCCUCCACUACCCUAGGUGUCCGGGGGCGGCACACUUCGUCGGGUACAGCGACAGCGACCACGCCGGCGACAUCGACACCAGCAAGAGCACGAGCGGGAUCCUCUUCUUCCUCGGCAAGUGUCUCGUGAGCUGGCAAUCAGUCAAGCAGCAGGUGGUGGCCCUGUCCAGCUGUGAGGCUGAGUACAUAGCGGCCUCCACCGCCUGCACUCAGGCGCUCUGGCUCGCUCGACUGCUUGGUGAUCUUCUUGUUCAAGACACCAGAACGGUGCAGCUCCUGGUGGACAGCAAGUCCGCCCUGGCCCUGGCAAAGAACCCCGUUUUCCACGAACGGAGCAAGCACAUCCGACUGAGGUACCAUUUCAUCCGCAGCUGUGUGGAAGAAGGGAGCAUCGAGGCGAGCUACAUCAACACCACGGACCAGCUCGCAGACCUGCUCACCAAGCCUCUUGGGAGGAUCAAGUUCCUCGAACUCUGCUCCAGGAUUGGGAUGAUUCAACCCUCCCACAAAACGACGUACAAGACUUAG